rnacentral:misc_RNA from 1 species
GUUUUUUUUUUCGCUUGCGUUGGCUUUGGUUAACACACGUGUUAGAGAGACUAUUGGUGUUUUCAUUACUUUUUCAUAUUGUUUUUAGUAUAAAUAGUUAAGUUUUUGGUUUUAGUGGUUUUACUAACACAUCUAGUUUCGGUUGUGGUUUAACAACAAAAGCCUGACUAUUUUUUUUUCUCUGUCUGCAAUAAUCAAUAUAGCUUAUAAUCUCAACCACACUGAUCAUUCUCCUUCGUGUCUUUUCUAUCCCACGUGACAUUGGCGAAAUCGACAGUGCCUCUGGCACAACUGAAAGCCAUUAAGCCCAAGAAUAAUAAUAAUAAUUAAAUUAUACAAUAAAAUAAAAUAACGUACAAAGAUAUUUAUAGCUAUUUUUACAGAAAACAGAGGUUUUAUCGGCAAAUAAGUCUAAGACCUCACAAU